AGAAUCAACGCUGGCGGCGUGCCUAACACAUGCAAGUCGAACGAGAAAGUGGAGCAAUCCAUGAGUAAAGUGGCGACCGGGUGAGUAACACGUGACUAACCUACCCUAAAGUGGGGAAUAACUCCGGGAAACCGGGGCUAAUACCGCAUAAAAUCGUCGUUUCUAAAGAAGUGACGAUCAAAGCAGCAAUGCGCUAUGGGAGGGGGUCGCGGCUGAUUAGCUAGUUGGCGGGGUAAUGGCCCACCAAGGCGAAGAUCGGUAUCCGGCCUGAGAGGGCGCACGGACACACUGGAACUGAAACACGGUCCAGACUCCUACGGGAGGCAGCAGUGGGGAAUUUUGCGCAAUGGGGGAAACCCUGACGCAGCAACGCCGCGUGGAGGAUGAAGCCCCUUGGGGUGUAAACUCCUUUCGACCAAGACGAUAAUGACGGUACUGGUGGAAGAAGCACCGGCUAACUCUGCGCCAGCAGCCGC
rnacentral:rRNA from 1 species